rnacentral:misc_RNA from 1 species
GAACGCACCUUGCGCUCCUUGGUAUUCCGAGGAGCAUGCCUGUUUGAGUGUCGUGAAAUUCUCAACCCCUUAGAUUUCUUAAUGAAGUCUUGUGGGGAUUGGACUUGGAGGCUGUGUCGGCUCUAGUCAGCUGACUCCUCUCAAAUGCAUUAGCGUGAAUCUUUUACGGAUCGCCUUCAGUGUGAUAAUUAUCUGCGCUGCGGUGUUGAAGUAUCAUUUAUAGUUCAUGCUUCUAAUCGUCUCUCACGAGACAAUCACUUUGACAAUCUGGCCUCAAAUCAGGUAGGACUACCCGCUGAACUUAAG